GUCCAUCUGACGAGUCCCGAAUAGGACGAAAAGCGCGUCCUUGAU
rnacentral:hammerhead_ribozyme from 1 species